rnacentral:misc_RNA from 1 species
AAACUUUUCCAUCAGUUCCCGCAAACUCGCAUGUCGCAUUUCGCAUUGUUUGAAGUUGGAAGCUUAAGUAUUGUUAAUUUACUGAUUACUUUUGAAUUGAAGUUUCUUUAAAUAUCAAGAAGCUGUAGUUGUAAUGGAGGAAGAUAGCUCGAGAGCUCCUUGGGAAAAUGUAGAUAGUAGAUCUGAAGCAUCAUAUUAUGUUAGCAAAAGAGACAUGAUGCCAUCUUACAAUUCCAAGUUCUCCGUUAUUCAAGAUGCUCUAAACGAAUGCAACAGUAUCAAGUAUGCAGCUUACCGAACAGCAGCGAAAAUGUGUGUCCUGCAGCGAGCUCUGGGAAUGGAGCAUGUUCGUUUGAGUGUUAUCGCUGGAGUUUUCCAGAAACAUGGCUAUCAAGCGACAGAAAAUGCACUGCUCUUGGACUGCACGGAAUUGGAUGCUUUGCUGUCUGAUGUAUUUUUCGCCGCUUCCAAAGAAACCCGCCAAUCUCUGGACCUUGAAUACUUGACAGAAAUGACAGUACAUUUCUUGAUCAGCUCGUUUGACAAAGACCACAAAGGAUCAAUACAAGUUCUGUCUGCAAAAAUAGCUUUGGCGACAUUAUGCUCAUCCCGACUUCAAGAGAAGUACGAUUACUUCUUCACCCAACUCGCUGAUCACAACAACUGUCUCAACAAAAGGAAACUCAGUCUUCUCGUCGAAAAUUUUGUAUCAAUGACAGACUAUCUGUGUGAAUCUCUGUCAUUCUCCUCGAACCUCAUCUCAUCUACAAUCAGCUCUUGUUUUGAGCAGGAAUCCCAUGGACCCCUUGGCAUCAGUGAAGAAAUGUUUAUGAAAUGGGUGUUGAAAGAGCCUCAACUUUUGGUUUGGUUCUCCACUUUCUACAGGCUACGGGCUGCAGAAAAAGUUAGCCAUUCAGUGAGAUGCGCUGUUUGUAGAAUGUACCCAAUUCGAGGUCUGCGAUAUCGUUGUUUGCAUUGCAUAUCUUACGACCAGUGUCAGACAUGCUUUUUCCAUGGCUGUGUAAGCAAGCGGCACAAAUUGAAACAUCCAAUGCAGGAAUACUGCUGGCAGACCAAUUCCAAAGACGCUACGUUGUCUUUCUUGAAGGCGCUGAUGAAUCGGUUUUGUGGCAACUCCUCUCGUCUCCAAUACCUACCAGCUCAGCCAUCUGAUUCAGCAGCAUCUACUCCAACAUUAAAUAGCAGAACAGUGGUUGAUGCAGCAGAGGCAGAGGAGCAGAUGGAGGAGGCGGAGGUGGAUGAUGGGGGUGGGGGUGUGGUUGAGCCGCAGCAAGAGCUGCAGAGCAUCAUCAGCCAACUGGAGGCGGAGACCAAGCAGCUGGAUGUGGAGAUAGAGCGGCUGCGCGGCGCAGGGCGCGCUGAUGUUGGCCACAACCUACAUGAGCAUCGAAUGCUGCUAGGGGCGCAAAUACGCCGCUUGAAGAUAUUGAAGAGUCAUUUACAAUCGAUGGGCCCGAGAUACAUGCAAAGUACGCCGAAGCACAACGCCCACUUCGCGGUCUACCGGACACCAGGCUUCAGUCCGAUCGACAACCAGCCGGCAGACCUGGCCAGUCUGGUCGACAACUCGGGCCAAGGCUCGGUCACACUGGACGAGCCUAGCACGUGGAUCGGCGGUAAGCCCACUCGAGUCGAGCAGCAUCUCAACAACAUUUCCGACUGGCUGAAGGUGCGGACACACAACUACUUGCGGCCUGCCACUACGGACGAUGACCACCGGUCGCUGAUCGCUGCCACUGGAGAGCAGCUGGAGAUCAACGAGCUGCAUCACGGAUUGGACAAUAUUCUCGACAAACUGCAGAAGAUGCUCGCUUCCAACUUCUCUCUGGCGGAAAGUUCGAAUGGACAAGAAUGCCAGGAGCUGGCCGAUGUCAAGAUGAAAAGCUCUGCUGAUUUAAGGUGAUCAAUUGACUACGUUACUGACUUGAAAUUCACUUCUUUUGGUAAACAGGUGCUGAGACUGAAGUUUGGACGAGCCACCGAUUAUAAAUUGAUUUAAAGAAAAUGCCAAGAAGGAUCACGCUAACUGUAUCCGAGAAACCAACAGCUGAGCUGACUCACGACAGGACAACAUGACUUGUAGAGGCGAGCGAUGGGAAUUUAGCAUCGUUGGGAGCUGGGAGCAAGGAGCAAACACACAGGUCUCCUCCCCUGAUCCCCUGAUCCUCUGAUCCUCUGAUCCGGUCACCUGUGCGCGGAGAAAGUGGGAGAGAGAAUCCGCCACACAACAACAUGCUGGAGACUGGAGCCUAGUGCUGGAGUGGAGAUCUGGAGAAGACCGCAACCAGAAUCAGGCUUACGUCAUUCUCGCUGGAAUGCACGCAGCUCCAGAAUUCUACUCCUCCUCCUCCUCCUCCUCAUCACCAUCUACCAUGUUUCGACAGCCGCCAGCCCAGCAGCCAGCAGUCAACAGGCUGAAUGCUCAUGGUCAUGCCGCCGCCUAAUCUGGCUUUAGCGCGUGCACAGUGCAUAGUGCACAAUCAGGUGCAAAAUAUUUUAAAGGUGGAAAGCUAGGUUUCCAAUGUGAUUCUCGAAUAUGAAUCCGAUUGGAACCACGUUUGAAUGGAAUAUUGGUUCAAUAGAUGAAGAACAAUUUGAACCCCAAGUCUCAAUACAGCUACAUCCUGGUUAUGUUUGAAUACGGAAAGAAGUAUUUCCAAUCCAAUAUCCUCAAAUAUGAAUUCAUUUAGAACCUAGGUUUGGCUUCAAUUGCAUCUUCAAGGUUGAAUGCAAUAUUAAUAAAUAACUUCACAUACAGUUUUUGAUUCUCAAGAUUGAAUUUAGUUAAAUCUCCAAGAUCUCUGGAUUAAAGUUUCUGUAUUGCUCUUCUCAUUUGCUACGAUGACUUUAGAGUGAUAUUGAUCUAGUGAACAAAUUUUGUAUUGGCUCAGUUGCAUUAUCAUUGAAUAUUUUCCUGUGGAUUCUUCCAAUUGGAUGUAUAAAAAUGACAAUGAAUAAUA